CCCAGACUGGGUUGCAGGGAAGCAGGAAGUCUCUGGGCUGAGAUCCGUUUCUCCUUCCUGCUGUUCUGAUCUGUUGCCUUCUUUCCCUUGGAGCUACCAUCCCUUUGUCUUCUGGCUGACAGAACUGUGCUUGCAGUUCCCAGGUAGAUCUGAACCAACAUCCCUCAUAUUUCCUGGCUUCUGUUGGCUUCUGUGGCCAUCGGGUCCCCUUCUUCUGCUCUGACCUUGUGUCAGACAGAGAUAAAGAAUACUGGGACCAAGGAAUCCAUGUUGGUCCCAGGGCUGGAGGAGACUGUCAUCUCAAAGAAUCCAGCGGACAGCAUCCAGCAUCCAGCCGCCAGCCUCCAGUGAUGAAUGGGAGAACCCCAACUUCUUAAAUACCUUUUCUCUAAACAAAGGAAGGGGGAGCCUGAAGCCAGAGGGAAUGGGCCCUGGAAGCCUCAGACGUCCUCCUCAGCUUGUCUUCUGGAGGACAGAACUGUGCUAACAGCUCCCAAGUAGGUUUGAGUCAACAUCUUCCAUAUUUCCUGGCUUCUCUUGGCUGCCCUGGCCAUUGAGUCCCCUCCUUCUCCUCUGACCUUGUGGGAAGCUGGAGCUAGAGGGAAUGGGCCCUGGGAGCCUCAGACGUUUUCCUCAGUUCAGGCGGUGGAAAAGGAAUGGAAGGACGUAAGUGUUUUGUUUUGUUUUUUCACUCCCUAUUGCAUGUGAGCCAUGUGCUUUCUUUAUAAUACAGUGACAGCAAUGUUAUUUUAAGAACAACUUUAAGCAAAUAAAUUAUUUUGACUAUUCUACCAAAAUUACCUAUAAUGACAGAACAAAAAAGGACCUUAUCUACCUCUAGAAAAAGAGCAAAUGAAUCAAAUUAUCCCUGGAACAAUUGUGGGUGUGGGCAUAGAUUUGGAUGUGGGAUUGUCUGUACUUUUAUAGACAUUAAUCUGUUUCUUUUUAAUUUUAGCAUCUUUGGGGGGAGGAGCUCAACGAAAGAAAAAUUUUACUUGAUAAUUGUUUUGUAUUUUAAAGGAAUGAUAUGUUGUGUCUGAUACCUUUUCAGUUUCAUGUGCUCUUAUCUUUUUUUAUUGUAUUAUGUUAAGGAGAUACUUGCUUUAUUUCAUAAAUUAAAAAUAAAAUAUGUCCUGUUAUCCUCACAGUAACCUUCCAAGUUAGAAGAUACUAUCCUGCCCAUUUGAGAAUUAAGGAAAUGGAGGCACAGAAUUUUAGUGACUUGCCUAAGAGCACACAGCUAGUGACUGUGUGAGCUUGAUUUAAAAUUCAUCCCUCUUGACUCUAUAUCCAGGUCUCUUGCCACUGCACAAUCAGCUCCCUUGAACUUAUAGAUAAUGAAAACUACAUGAAGAGUUCAUCCUAAUAUAGAGAAAAUGUAACAAGACCAAAUUCUCUUAUUUCCAGGCCCCUGUUGAACAGGCUCAAGGCUCCUGUAAUCCAAAAAUCAUUUUACUCAGUUGUGGGGAUUAGAACUUUCUGCUAAAUUCUUAAUCUCUUUGUUGUUUGCUUGCAUUUUGUUUUUUCUCAGUUUUUUUCUUCCUUCUUGAUUUGAUUUUUCUUGUGCAGCAAGAUAACUGUAUAAAUAUGUAUACAUAUAUUGGAUUUAACAUAUUUAGCAUAUAUUGGACUACCUGCCAUCUAGGGGAGGGGGUGGUGGGAAGGAGGGGAAAAUGUGGAAUGGAAGGUUUUGCAAGGGUCAAUGUUGAAAAAUUACUCAACUUUACUUUGUAAAUAAAAAGCUUAAAAAGGGGGGGGGGAGAAGUUUUUGCUAAAGUAUGACAAAUAUGGAAAUAUGUUUAGAAGAAUUGCACAGGUUUAACCUAUAUCAAAUUGCUUGCUGUCUUGGGGGAGAAGGGAGAAACAUUUGGAACUCAAGGGGUAAUCUAACCCUAACCAUAAAAGAUCAAUGGAGGGUGCUUUGACCAAGAUCUCCAAUUGAAUGACACAGCUUAACUUGUCUGGGAAAAAAUAUUUUCACCGGAGAGUCUGAGACUCUGAAUCCCCCUUCUUUUACAGAUUAAAGGGGACAGCUUCAGAGUGAUUAUUUUGUUGAUUAAGAGGGACAGUUUCAGAGUUCACCCCUAUCAAUACCAUACCUCAGAUUCUUUAGGCAUUUGUUCAUCUCUUUCUAUUUCAUCCCCCUUUUUCCUUUUGUACUUUUCCUUCCUCUCUUGCCCUUCAACUAGAGCUCUACCCAAUUCCUGUUUUUAUAAAGAAAUGAUCCUUAAGAUAGUGAUAGUUUCACAGCCCAUCCUCCACGUCUCUAGAAAUGGUCAUGAUUGUCGAUAUUGGUCAGGUCUGAGGAUGGACUUCAUCCACCUGAGAUUUGAAGCUUCCAGCGCCCAUUCUUUCUGACUUCAGGCUGCCUGUGGAGGUAGCAGUUACCAAAGUGACACCAUUUUGUUAAGUUUUUCCAACUGGACCUGCGUCCUUAUCUCAGGGUCCUGAUUCCUGCACCCUUUAUAACCUAGAAGUUGGAAUAGAUAAAGCUCUAACAAAGGUCACACUGACCAAAUUAGAUUUUGAUUCUAUGCCUUUUUGAUAACCUUAAGAAAGGAGCCCCCCAGAAUUCCUUCCUGGUUGCUGAAUUCAAUUAGUCCAGGGUGUCAAACUGAUAAUAAUUUUGCUCAUCCUCAAAGAGUUGGAAAUGAUCUUAGGAGUCACAAUAACAAAUGUUCUCCAAGCUCAGUGUUCCUCAAGGUGAGACCAAGGGUGGCUAGGCAGUGCCAUAGUGCACAGAGUCCUAGAUGGGGAAUCAAGAAGCUUCAACUUCUGAUGUUUAAUCCUGCCUCUGACACUGAUCAGGUGUGUGACCCUGGGCAAGUCACUUACCCCUGUUUGCCUGUUUCCUCCUCUAUAAAAUGAGCUGCAGAGAGAAACUAAAACAAUGGAGCAUCUUCACUACCACUGAAGGGACCGUGCGGCAAACCAAGUGAAACUGGUGGGAUGGCUUGGAAGAAAAUCAGUUUAAAUGGGAUGACAAUGGCUUCCAUGCACAGAUUCUAUAAGCUUAAGCCUUCCUUCAGGAGAAAAGCACCAAGCCCAAUUGUCACAGCACUGAUGCCAUCAGCAGGUCAGGUCUUGAUUUGCAAGUGACUUGGAUUUCAGUGAGGCAGAUCUGUGCAAAGUCAUCAACCUCACUGUCAGAAUCAUCUGAGCCCAAUGGCAAAGACAACCAAGACGACUGGUGAUGGCCCCUAUUUCUACUGAAUAUAUAAACCUACUGAGAACAACAGAUUGUAUGUUCCCAGAGUUGUGUUUUCCCUUUGUUAUCACAGAUCAUAAAAUUAAAAGAUUGCAGAAGCUAA